AGAGCGAACGCUGGCGGCAGGCCUAAUACAUGCAAGUCGAACGGACCCUUCGGGGUUAGUGGCGGACGGGUGAGUAACACGUGGGAACGUGCCCUUUGGUUCGGAACAACUCAGGGAAACUUGAGCUAAUACCGAAUGUGCCCCCAUCCUUAAACAAGAUGGGUGGGAAAGAUUUAUCGCCAUUGGAGCGGCCCGCGUCUGAUUAGCUAGUUGGUGAGGUAAAGGCUCACCAAGGCGACGAUCAGUAGCUGGUCUGAGAGGAUGAUCAGCCACACUGGGACUGAGACACGGCCCAGACUCCUACGGGAGGCAGCAGUAGGGAAUCUUGCGCAAUGGGCGAAAGCCUGACGCAGCCAUGCCGCGUGAAUGAUGAAGGUCUUAGGAUUGUAAAAUUCUUUCAGCGGGACGAUAAUGACGGUACCGCAGAAGAAGCCCGGCUAACUUCGUGCCAGCAGCCGC
rnacentral:rRNA from 1 species